AAUAUUUGACAAUGGGGGCAACCCUGAUCCAGCCAUGCCGCGUGUUUGAAGAAGGNCUNNGGAUUNUNAAGCACUUUUAGUUGNNNNNAAGGGCUUUAGGCUAAUACCCUGAAGUUUUGACGUUACCAACAGAAUAAGCAUCGGCUCACGCUUUGCCAGCAGCCGCGGUAAUACAGCGGGUGCAAGCGUUAAUCGGAAUUACUGGGCGUAAAGCGCGCGUAGGUGGUUCAGUAAGAUGGGUGUGAAAUCCCCGGGCUUAACCUGGGAACUGCUUUCAUAACUGCUGAGCUAGAGUACGGUAGAGGGUAGUGGAAUUUCCUGUGUAGCGGUGAAAUGCGUAGAUAUAGGAAGGAACACCAGUGGCGAAGGCGACUACCUGGACUGAUACUGACACUGAGGUGCGAAAGCGUGGGGAGCAAAC
rnacentral:rRNA from 1 species